AACGAACGCUGGCGGCAGGCCUAACACAUGCAAGUCGAGCGAGCACUUCGGGGUGACCGCGGCGGACGGGUGUGACACGCGUGGACACGCGCUCUGCGGCUGGGUAUACCUCGGGGACACGUGAGCUUAUACCGGAUACGCUCUGUUGGGGAAAGGCUUGCUGCCGGAGGAUCGGCCCGCGUGGGAUUAGCUAGUUGGUGGGGUAACGGCUCACCAAGGCGACGAUCAGUAGCUGGUCUGAGAGGAUGAUCAGCCACACUGGGACUGAGACACGGCCCAGACUCCUACGGGAGGCAGCAGUGGGGAAUAUUAGACAAUGGGCGCAAGCCUGAUCCAGCCAUGCCGCGUGAGUGAUGAAGGCCUUAGGGUUGUAAAGCUCUUUCAGCCGGGACGAUAAUGACGGUACCAGAAGAAGAAGCCCCGGCUAACUUCGUG
rnacentral:rRNA from 1 species